rnacentral:rRNA from 1 species
AUACGGGAGGCAGCAGUAGGGAAUUUUGCGCAAUGGACGGAAGUCUGACGCAGCAACGCCGCGUGAGGGAUGAAGGUCUUCGGAUUGUAAACCUCUGUUGAUUGGGAAGAAUAACGUCGCGGACAAUAACCGCGAGGGAUGACGGUACCAGUCGAGGAAGCCCCGGCUAACUACGUGCCAGCAGCCGCGGUAAUACGUAGGGGGCAAGCGUUGUUCGGAAUUACUGGGCGUAAAGGGAGCGUAGGCGGGUUCAUAAGUUAGGAGUGAAAUCCAUAGGCUUAACCUGUGGGUUGCUUUUAAUACUGUGAAUCUUGAGUAUUGGAGAGGAUGAUGGAAUUCCAGGUGUAGCGGUGGAAUGCGUAGAUAUCUGGAAGAACACCAGUUGCGUAGGCGGUCAUCUGGCCAAAUACUGACGCUGAGGCUCGAAAGCUAGGGGAGCAAACAGGAUUAGAUACCCCGGU